CCGGAUAACAACACUAGACGCAUGUCUAGAGUUUGAAAGAUGGUUCUGCUAUCACUCUUGGAUGGACCUGCGGUGCAUUAGCUAGUUGGUAAGGUAACGGCUUACCAAGGCAAUGAUGCAUAGCCGAGUUGAGAGACUGAUCGGCCACAUUGGGACUGAGACACGGCCCAAACUCCUACGGGAGGCAGCAGUAGGGAAUCUUCCACAAUGGACGAAAGUCUGAUGGAGCAACGCCGCGUGAGUGAAGAAGGGUUUCGGCUCGUAAAGCUCUGUUGGUAGUGAAGAAAGAUAGAGGUAGUAACUGGCCUUUAUUUGACGGUAAUUACUUAGAAAGUCACGGCUAACUACGUGCCAGCAGCCGCGGUAAUACGUAGGUGGCAAGCGUUGUCCGGAUUUAUUGGGCGUAAAGCGAGUGCAGGCGGUUCAAUAAGUCUGAUGUGAAAGCCUUCGGCUCAACCGGAGAAUUGCAUCAGAAACUGUUGAACUUGAGUGCAGAAGAGGAGAGUGGAACUCCAUGUGUAGCGGUGGAAUGCGUAGAUAUAUGGAAGAACACCAGUGGCGAAGGCGGCUCUCUGGUCUGCAACUGACGCUGAGGCUCGAAAGCAUGGGUAGCGAACAGGAUUAGAUACCCUGGUAGUCCAUGCCGUAAACGAU
rnacentral:rRNA from 1 species